AUCACGGGAGACACACGGCGGGUGCUAACGUCCGUCGUGAAGAGGGAAACAACCCAGACCGCCAGCUAAGGUCCCAAAGUCAUGGUUAAGUGGGAAACGAUGUGGGAAGGCCCAGACAGCCAGGAUGUUGGCUUAGAAGCAGCCAUCAUUUAAAGAAAGCGUAAUAGCUCACUGGUCGAGUCGGCCUGCGCGGAAGAUGUAACGGGGCUAAACCAU
rnacentral:rRNA from 1 species